CCGCGCCCGCACCUCCGGCCUCCGCUAGGUGAUGCUGCGCCCGCCUGCGCGCCGCGCCGGUCGCCGGGCGGGGCUGGGUUCCGACGGUCGGUACCGGGUCCGACUGUGUGAGAUGAUUUUUCCCUCCACCAAUUGGAUUUCUUCUCUUCUGGGAAAGACGAGAAUUCUACCAGCCCUGCUGGGUUCUGUCUUCAGCUCUCUUUUCUGCGGCACUAGUACAGUUCAGCUUCAUAAGGAGGCUUUUCAGCAGAGAAGCCUGCGGGGUUGAACCGGUGCCAUGGGGGAAUGAAUUCUUCAAUAGAUCUCUAGCCUCCUUUCUCAAAAUUAAAAUGUGGUGACUUGCGGAAAAGCAUAUGUAUAUAAACGACACAUCCGUGUUCUGACAUUCUGUUCCUUUAUGCUUUUUAGUUCCUGCGCUUCUUUAUAGACUCAAGUUGUUUUUUGCUUUGGGAUUGUGUUUGUUUGUUGCGGAGAACACCACCGUGUCCAUACAGCUCAGAACUGUCCAGCUAAGUUCCACACAUGCCAUGUGGGUCAUCAGCUAUAGUGUCAGCUGAAUUGUAACACCCCUGGUGUCUGGACCCAUCUCUUGAUUUUUGACCCUGUCUCCACUCCCAGUGCUGAGUGUCGCACAGAGCUUUGCGUGCAGUGGGUGUCAGACACAUCACCCCAACUGGGUGAGCAUGGUGUGCUGAGGGGCCACUAGCACACAGCGUCCACAGCUGCCGGCAGCUCCCGGUGGGCCGCUGCUCAAGUGAGGGGUCUUCACAAGGGCAGUUUCCUCAGCGUGGAGGCCUUGGGAGUUUUCCAUCAGCCUUUCUCUUUUCUCUUGACAGGAGUCCCCAAAACUGGGGCUAGUUGAGGAAAGUGCCUCCCUCAUUCCUGAAAUUGAGGGCUCGAGCUCCUGAGCGGCCUUUAUAGGACUCUGUCAACUGGCUGUCACUGAUAAAACAAAAGCAAAAAAAUGUAGGCAUCAUUAUGGAAACCAGGUUCUAAGAGGAACUAAAUGUAAUAAACCUGACUCCCGGCCCAAUUUUCACAGACUCUGGAAAAUAGAAAGAAUCAGGAAAAAGAUCAGGAACUUAAUAGACCUAAGAAGACAAAUGGUACAAAUAUAUCAACUAUUAUUCUCUGUGUCUCAUGCCCUUUCUUGCUAG